AAGUAUCAACGUAGAGAAACUAAAUCAACCUUGCUCAGUGAAUUUUAACUUAGGGUAAAAAUGCCCCAAUAAUCUAGUAGGACGACAAGACCCUAUAAAACUUUACCACGUCAGUUUACUCCCAUAAAGUAUUAAUAUUCAAGACUUUAGUGGUUAGCUGGGGCGGCCAUCCCCCUCCGGGGAAUAAACUAACACCUUGCGUGACCUUUCGAACCCUUUUUAGUAAAAAGACCAAGUUACUUUAGGGAUAACAGCGUAAUUGUUCCAGAGAGCCCCUAUCGACGGAGCAGAUUACGACCUCGAUGUUGAAUUGGGGACCCUCCUAGGAGCAGCCCCUUAGCGAGGAAGUCUGUUCGACUUUUAAUCCCCCACAUGAUGUGAGUUCAGACCGGA
rnacentral:rRNA from 1 species